rnacentral:rRNA from 1 species
CCGACGGUGAGGGGCGAAAGCUGGGGGAGCAAACCGGAUUAGAUACCCGGGUAGUCCCAGCCGUAAACGAUGUGCGUUAGGUGUAUCGGUGACCACGAGUCACCGAGGUGCCGAAGAGAAAUCGUGAAACGUACCGCCUGGGAAGUACGGUCGCAAGGCUGAAACUUAAAGGAAUUGGCGGGGGAGCACCACAACAGGUGGAGCCUGCGGUUUAAUCGGACUCAACGCCGGGAAACUCACCAGAUAAGACAGCUGAACGAUAGUCGGGCUGAAGACUCUACUUGACUAGCUGAGAGGAGGUGCAUGGCCGUCGUCAGUUCGUACUGUGAAGCAUCCUGUUAAGUCAGGCAACGAGCGAGACCCACGCCAACAGUUGCU